rnacentral:misc_RNA from 1 species
GUGUAUUUGAAAGAUGGUUUUGUUCUAAAAACAACAUCAAGAACUUGUAUAGUCUCCUGAGGAGCAUCUCGCUGCCGUCCAUGUAAAAACUGUUGUAGAUGAUGGAGGUCUGGCUUGGAAGCAAAUUUGAUAGACACUUUGAACUCGCGUUCUUUCCUUGUUGGUUGGGAAGACCCAGCAUCAUCUUUACGGACUAAUUUAAUCAUGAACUCUUUGGACGAAAAUGGAAGUUGACCAGCAACAUAAACACUUUUUCCACCAUCAUAUGCUAUAUAUCUU